AUACGGAGGAUGCGAGCGUUAUCCGGAUUUAUUGGGUUUAAAGGGUGCGUAGGCUGUGCGUUAAGUCAGGGGUGAAAUGCCGUCGCUCAACGACGGAGCUGCCCUUGAUACUGGCGUGCUGGAGUACGGAUGCCGUUGGAGGAAUGAGUGGUGUAGCGGUGAAAUGCUUAGAUAUCACUCAGAACACCGAUUGCGAAGGCAUCUGACGAAUCCGUCACUGACGCUGAGGAACGAAAGCGUGGGGAUAGAACAGGAUUAGAUACCCUGGUAUCCCACGCCGUAAACGAUGAUGACUAACCGUCGGCGAUAGACAGCCGGUGGCCAAGCGAAAGCGAUAAGUCAGCCACCUGGGGAGUACGUCGGCAACGAUGAAACUUAAAGGAAUUGACGGGG
rnacentral:rRNA from 1 species